rnacentral:rRNA from 1 species
UAUAUGCCACUCACGUGGAUAACUGUGGUAAUUCUAGAGCUAAUACAUGCAAACAAGUCCCGACCAGCGAUGGGGAGGACGCUUUUAUUGGAUCAAAACCUUUCGCCCGGCCUGCCCGGGCGUCAGAUUGAUGACUCUAGAUAACACCACAGAUCGCACGGUCACAGUACCGGUGACGUAUCCUUCAAAUGUCUGACUUAUCAGCUGUCGAUG